GGCUGAAACACAUUAGCGCGUUUGGCAAGUGCUCUAUCAGAGGGCCAUUAGACUGAGGCUCGUGCAUGAGGGAAUAGCAUGCUUUUACUUUCACUCUCUUUGUAAUAAAAAACGAUUUCCCGGUUGGAAUAUUAUCUCUUUUUUACGAGAAAAAUGGCAUAAAAAUUUAUUUUAAACAGCGGUUGACAUGCUUCGAAGUACGGUAAUGGAAUAUUUAGAAUUUUUUUGUCACGAAAUGCGCCGUGCUCGUAACCCUUAUUUACCCUUUCGGAUAGUGUCUUGAACGCACAAACAAAACGCCGCUAUUUGGAUAUAACAAUGGAUUAUUUGGGACCAAACCAACAUUUGUUAUUGAAGUAGAAGUCCUGGGAGUGCAUUCUGAUGAAGACAGCAAAAGUGGCGAAUCGCAUCUCUGCAUGUCUGGCAGACAUAUCAGUGUGGAUGACGGAUCACCACCUCAAGCUGAACCUCGGCAAGACGGAGCUGCUCUUCCUCCCGGGGAAGGACUGCCCGUUCCAUGAUCUCGCCAUCACGGUUGACAACUCCAUUGUGUCCUCCUCCCAGAGUGCUAAGAGCCUUGGCGUGACCCUGGACAACACCCUGUCAUUCUCCGCAAACAUCAAGGCGGUGACCCGAUCCUGUAGGUUCAUGCUCUACAACAUUCACAGAGUACGACCCUGACUUACAAAGGAAGCGGCGCAGGUCCUAAUCCAGGCACUUGUCAUCUCCCGUCUGGAUUACUGCAACUCGCUGUUGGCGGGGCUCCCUGCCUGUGCCAUUAAACCCCUACAACUCAUCCAGAACGCCGCAGCCCGUCUGGUGUACAACCUUCCCAAGUUCUCUCACAUCACCCCGCUCCUCCGCACACUCCACUGGCUUCCAGUUGAAGCUCGCAUCUGCUACAAGACCAUGGUGCUUGCCUAUGGAGCUGUGAGGGGAACGGCACCUCCGUACCUUCAGGCUCUGAUCAGUCCCUACACCCAAAGAAGGGCACUGCGUUCAUCCACCUCUGGCCUGCUCGCCUCCCUACCUCUGCGGAAGCACAGUUCCCGCUCAGCCCAGUCAAAACUGUUCGCUGCUCUGGCACCCCAAUGGUGGAACAAGCUCCCUCACGACGCCAGGACAGCGGAGUCAAUCACCACUUUCCGGAGACACCUGAAACCCCACCUCUUUAAGGAAUACCUGGGAUAGGAUAAAGUAAUCCUCCUUACCCUCCCCCCCCCAAAAAAGAUGUAGAUGUACUAUUGUAAAGUGGUUGUUCCACUGGAUAUCAUAAGGUGAAUGCACCAAUUUGUAAGUCGCUCUGGAUAAGAGCUUCUGCUAAAUGACGUAAAUGUCAAUGCAGUGAGGGAUACUACAUACUUGAAAGUUCCUGCAAAUAGUGCAUUGCUUUGAUUACAUGCAGUCGUUAUUAGUGUUAAGUUCAAAAGGUUAGGUGAUAAAAUCCAUAUUGCUGUACUUCUGUCAUAAUACAUGAAAUGGUAACCUCAUUAAGCUUUAUUAAUGUAUCCUGUCCUGCCAGAUCAUACAUCAUGUUAUGAAUAAUUGAGAUUUAGAAUAAAUCCUUUAUGAGCAUCUGAAUCAGAAAUGGAUCCAGCUUUUAAUAUGAAUGUAUGUCAAGAUGUUACCAAACAUUGCUUCUGAUCUGAAGGUGAUCUGUUUGAUUCAGUUGGAGGUAUGUUGGUGUUCAUCUGUUUGCUUGGGUUGUACUGAAUUCAAUCACUUGUAGAUAAAGGAAAUUGCAGUGCGGGUUCACUCUAAGCUACAUCGUAUUUCAAGGUCUGGUUUUGCAUCAAUAUCAAAUCAAAACAAAUAUUUUUUGUCACAUGCGCCGAAUACAACAGGUGUAGACCUUACAGUGAAAUGCUUACUUACAAGCCCUUAACCAACAAUGCAGUUUUAAGAAAAACAAGUGUUAGGUAAAAAAAAUAGAUAUGUAAUAAAAAUACAAAUACAAAUAACAAAUAAUUAAAGAUCAGCAGUAAAUAACAGCAGCGAGGGUAUAUACAGGGGGUACCGGUACAGAGUCAAUGUGCGGGGGCACAGGUUUGUCAAUGUAAUUGAGGUAAUAUGUACAUCAAUGAUGUGGCUCUCCGCCAAUAAUUACAUUUAGAGGAUUGGAAGAUCCUAAAUUAAUAUCUAAUGGGCAUUUUUCAUUAGGAUCUGUGAGAAUAUCUUAGGGGCUUUUAUAUCAUUCUAAAUGAAUUAAUAAUAAUCGCUUUCUUUAUAAAGUAACGAUAGUUGAGAUUAUUUCGUUUUCAUUUAACCUAGAGUGAGCGAAAAAAGGCCAGCCUUGAACAUGGGGUGAGUCAUUCUCACUAAUUUGUAAAUAAAGCCAGUUUAUUAUAUAGAAUUAUUUUUUUCUGGAGAAACCAAAAGCUGCCUCAUGGAUCUCCCGGUGGCAGUCGGCAUGGGUAUCGAACAAGCAUCUGUAGCAACGCAGUUUGCACUGCGAUGCAGUGUCUUAGACUGCUGCGCCACUCGGGAGGCCCAAUCCACAAGUUUUUAAUGCUGAUCAAUUGCCUUGCACAAAGUAUCAAAAUACAGAGAGGUGUUGGUAAAGGUAUAUUGUCCUGCUAAUAGCCCAUAAUGUGCUGUUAUAAUACUGUACAUGGUGUCCAGGUCAGGAUAAUCAAAGCAUUUCUUUAUGAAAGACUAUUAGAAAUAAUGUUGGUACUUAUUUAUUUUGAUCCAAAGCCAUGAAUGAGUGAGUCACUCAGCUUUAUGUAGGUGCCAGGGCUAUAUGACUGUGCCAUUAACUUCAUUAUACAUACAUAUAUAACGAUAUUUUGGAGAUUAUUUUGUUGCGAUUGUAAUCUGAAUAAAGGCCAAAAUAAUAUUUGUAAAGGCCAAAACAUGUAUUUCUGUUUUUAGAAGGAGAGAAACUCUGGGCCAAUUGUGCGCCACCCUUUGGGACUCCCAAUCACGGUCAUAUGUGAUAUAUUAUAAUAAUAAUAAUAAUAAUACUUUUUUCCCCCUUCCACAUGUUAAAUGUUCCAAUUGAUAAAUGUGUUUAUUCAAUUAGGAUAUUUGCGUUUAACCACAAUAUGUGUUGUAUUAUUUGUUCUGUCUUUUCUGGUGGUAAACUGAAAUUGCUUACAAUAGGCCUUAAGUAUACAGCAGAUCGCCGAUUGUCCUCACUUUGAUUAUGCUGUAACAACAUACUGUACCACCAUGACCAGGAUCUCUAUUCAUUUAAAUAAGCAGAUUAGGGCUUUCAGGAGGAACGGAAAAUCUACUGGAGACAUUUCAAAAAUACUGGUAGACUUGAAGAUUUUGGUCACAGAUAGUACUAUUCGCAAACAUUAUCAUCAGAUGCCUGUGCUACACAGAACCCGAAAGCCCAGGAAAAUUAACAGGUACAGUAGGCGAUAAUACUGUAAAGUAGAUCUAAUAAUGCUAAAAAUAAUGAUUAAAUAAAUCACUGUUACCUCCUUUUUCAG
rnacentral:lncRNA from 1 species